rnacentral:rRNA from 1 species
UACGUAGGAUCCAAGCGUUGUCCGGAUUUACUGGGUGUAAAGGGUGCGCAGGCGGACUUGUAAGCCAGAUGUGAAAUCCCCGGGCUUAACCUGGGAAUGGCAUUUGGGACUGCAAGGCUCGAGUGCGGCAGAGGAGACUGGAAUUCCUGGUGUAGCAGUGAAAUGCGUAGAUAUCAGGAGGAACACCGAUGGCGAAGGCAGGUCUCUGGGCUGACACUGACGCUCAUGCACGAAAGCGUGGGGAGCAAACAGG